CUUUUGUUUGACCACUUCCAGUUUGCCUUGAUUCAUGGACCUGACAUUCUUGGUUUCUAUGCAAUAUUGCUCUUUACAGCAUCGGAUCUUGCUUUUAUCACCAGUCACAUCCACAGCUGGGUAUUGUUUUUGCUUUGGCUUCAUCCCUUCAUUCUUUCUGGAGUUAUUUCUCCAUUGAUCUCCAGUAGGGUGUUGGGCACCUACCCACCUGGUGAGUUCCUCUUUUGGGGACCAUACUCACUGAAACCAUACUCACAGAAAGCUAGUCAAUUUAAUCACACUAGGACCACAGCCUUGUCUAACUCAAGGAAACCAAGCCAUGCCUGCGGGCAACCCAGGACGGGCGGGUCAUGGUGGAGAGGUCUGACAGAGCGUGGUCCACUGGAGAAGGGAACGGCAAGCCACUUCAGUAUUCUUGCCUUGAGAACCCCAUGAACAGUAUGAAAAGGCAAAAUGAUAGGAUACCAAAAGAGGAACUCCCCAGGUCAUUUUUUCUUGUAAGUAAAAGCAUUUAUGAGAGAAAAGUAGAACUGGAAUGAAAACAAAUGAUGCUUUUAAGUGAGGGCUGAAUUAGAACAGCUCUAUCUCCAAAUCCAGCGUCACUUUGUUUACUUUAAAUCUAUUUAAACGGUGUCCUGAGUUUUGUCCUUUUGAUCUUGGUUACCACCUUGGAAUCGAGGAACACAGGCCUGUCUUUUGAAGAUACUGUAUACCUAACUAACAGGCCAGCCAGCUAGGGGCAAGGAAGGGACUGCCUAGGUGACAAGCUUAAUGCCCUCCUUCACUCUGAGUCCUGUAUUGGUUCCAGGUUCUACAAUCAAACCCCAGGGAAGCCCUAAUGCUGUUUGAUCAAGUGGAGGACAGAAAAGGUCUACUUCCUUGAGACCUCUAGAAUUUCCCAAAUGGUCAGGUUCUGUAGGCUGGGAGGAUUGCUUGCUUCUCUUCUACCUGUUGGUCUUAAAUUUGUACCUGUUUUAUCAGUUGAGGGAGAUGACUGGGUCAUGUCAAUGGCUGUUAACAGAAUGAAGUUUUUUAAUCCACAGGUCUUCAGGCUCAUCCUCCCUUCAGCCCACAACCUGGAGCUGUAUGAGAACUGGCUGCUGUCAGGGAAACAGGGAGACAUCUUUCUGGGUGACCGGGUAUCAGAUUGCCAAUGCCUUGGGCUCAAGCAGGGCUAUACUUUCGUCAUUCCCUCAGGCUGGAUUCACGCUGUGUAUACUCCUACAGACACAUUGGUGUUUGGAGGCAAUUUUUGGCAUAGCUUCAAUAUCCCCAUGCAGUUAAAAAUAUACAACAUUGAAGAUCGAACACGGGUUCCUAAUAAAUUCCACUAUCCAUUCUACUAUGAGAUGUGUUGGUAUGUGUUGGAGCGCUAUGUGUACUGCAUAACCAACCGCUCUCACCCAACUAAGGAAUUUCAGAAAGAGUCCCUUAGUAUGGAUCUGGAGUUAAAUGGGUUGGAGUCUGGAAACGGGGACGAGGAAGCAGUAGACCGAGAGCCCCAGCGCUUGAGCAGCAGACGUUCUGUCCUCACCAGCCCUGUGGCCAAUGGGGUCAGCCUGGAUUAUGAUGGACUGGGCAAAACCUGCCGAAGUCUUCCAAGUCUGAAGAAAACUUUGUCUGGGGACUCAUCCUCUGACUCUAGCCGGGGUUCCCAGAAUGGCCAAGUGUGGGAUUCCCAGUGUAGCCCCCGAAAGGACCGACAGGUGCAUCUGACCCAUUUUGAGCUUGAAGGCCUUCGUUGCCUUGUAGAUAAAUUGGAAUCUCUGCCACUGCACGAGCAAUGCAUCCCUACAGGGACAGAAGACGAAGACGCUCUCACUGCUGAUGCGAAGGUAAGGGUUCGUUGUGUUGCAUAG
ensembl:lincRNA